rnacentral:rRNA from 1 species
GAUGAACGCUAGCGGCAGGCUUAAUACAUGCAAGUCGUGGGGCAGCAGGGUUGUAGCAAUACAAUCGCUGGCGACCGGCAAACGGGUGCGUAACACGUACGCAACCUUCCCGUUACUGUGGCAUAGCCCAGGGAAACUUGGAUUAAUACCACAUAUUAUAUUGGUGAGGCAUCUCAUUGAUAUCAAAGCUUCGGCGGUAACGGAUGGGCGUGCGGUUGAUUAGGUAGUUGGCGGGGUAACGGCCCACCAAGCCUACGAUCAAUAGCUGAUGUGAGAGCAUGAUCAGCCACACGGGCACUGAGACACGGGCCCGACUCCUACGGGAGGCAGCAGUAAGGAAUAUUGGGCAAUGGACGAAAGUCUGACCCAGCCAUGCCGCGUGAAGGAUUAAGGUCCUCUGGAUUGUAAACUUCUUUUCUCUGGGGCGAAAACCAGCUAUUCUUAGCUAUUUGACAGUACCAGAGGAAUAAGCACCGGCUAACUCCGUGCCAGCCGCCGCCGUAAUAC